UACGUAGGGGGCAAGCGUUAUCCGGAUUUACUGGGUGUAAAGGGGGCGUAGACGGCGAUGCAAGCCAGAUGUGAAAGCCCGGGGCUCAACCCCGGGACUGCAUUUGGAACUGUGUGGCUGGAGUGUCGGAGAGGCAGGCGGAAUUCCUAGUGUAGCGGUGAAAUGCGUAGAUAUUAGGAGGAACACCAGUGGCGAAGGCGGCCUGCUGGACGAUGACUGACGUUGAGGCUCGAAAGCGUGGGGAGCAAACAGG
rnacentral:rRNA from 1 species